CUGGGUGGUUGUUGUUUAGUCGUUUAGUUGUGUCCGACUCUUCGUGACCCCCUGGACCAAAGCACGCCAGGCACUCCUGUCUUCCACUGCCUCCCCCAGUUUGCUCAAACUCAUGCUGGCAGCUUCGAGAACACUGUCCAACCAUCUCGUCCUCUGUCGUCCCCUUCUCCUUGUGCCCUCCAUCUUUCCCAACAUCAGGGUCUUUUCCAGGGAGUCUUCUCUUCUCAUGAGGUGGCCAAAGUCUUGGAGCCUCAGCUUCAGGAUCUGUCCUUCCAGUGAGCACUCAUGGCUGAUUUCCUUCAGAAUGGCUGUGUUUGAUCUUCUUGCAGUCCAUGGGACUCUCAAAAGUCUCCUCCAGCACCAUAAUUCAAAAGCAUCCAUUCUUCGGCGAUUUUUAUUUUAUUUUAUUUUUUAUUUUAUUUUUUGUUAAAUAUGAAAAAGAGGCCUUAUGAAAAUUCACCAGCAUUUUAGUGCAAAUUGUAUACAGACGUUUGUAUUACUCUGCAAGCAAUCUUCCCUAAUACAUUUUAAAAUCUUGUUUUCACACAUACUUGCAUUUUUAUACACACACUUCACUGCAGGAUAGACUUUUCUGUCCACAUUGCUUGCCUGGAGAACUGCAUUGCAAAAUUCAGAGAAGUGCGAGUUUUGAAGCACAGCCGUGUUUCAAUUCUCAUAUUAUUUCAGACACAGACUUACCAAGCUAAACAUUGACCAUUUAUAAAAAUAAUAGCAGAUUUUAAUUCCUCACGCCCCAAAACAUAUUUUUAAGACCCCCUCAAUGAAGAAAUUUGCAAAAAUUAAGUUUCACACCCCCCUAAAAUGGCAUGCUAGUAAUGACUCGUGAGUGGCCUACCUUGCAGAAAAAAAUAAUUUUUGCAAUUUCACAGUGCUGCAGAAUUUAGCAUCCACUAGCAGAACAUGGGUGCAGAAUUUCGAAUUCUGUAAAGCAACACAAGUCUUUCAGAACUCAGAGCAGAUACAGCAUUAGUAAGGGAGUUGAAUCUUCUGUUUUUAAUGACUGAUGUUUUAAUGUAUUUUUAAUCAUUUGUUGGAAGCUGCCCAGAGUGGGCAGGGUAGAAAUAAGCUAUUAUUAUUGUUUGUUUGUUUGUUGUUGUUGUUGCUAUACUUCUUUAUCCAAAGUGUUCAAUAUCCUUUUUGUUUAACAAAUAGAAUUGGGGUAGGUAGGUGGGUGUAUGUUGUGGAUGAAAAGAAUGGAUUUUUAUUUUCUUUAGAAAAUGAUCUCACCUAACUGUAAACGUCCCCCAAUAGUCGCUCGUAGAUAAAUCACUGGUGCUUAUUUUAUUAGUGGUUUUAAAUACAAUAGCAGCAUUUUUAUGAUUUGGCCCUCGACUCCAUUCCCUGCCCUGACACAGCACCUCUCCAUCGGAGUUGGCUGCGGCCGUCAAACAAGGCUGGAUCCCAUUACAAACGCAGGAAAGGAAGAACACCUUACGAAAGCGAAGGGAAAAGAAGAAGAAAUUUGUUUGUUGCAGAGAAUCCAGCCGCUUAAGAGCCCUUAAAAGAAACCUUGUGUGCGUUCCAACUUGUCGGCUGAGAACAACCCGAAACUAUUCCAUCUGUGCUGAGGCAUAGAAAUGCCUUAUCUGUUUGGCCCCGGAUCAGAGACUCGACAAUCUGGCUAAGAAGGGCUGGCAGAUCUGGUGAGACAGCCAGGUGGAACGUGCUUGCUAUUUAAUUAAAAGGGCUGGCCUUAGAAGUGAAGAGAUUCUGUAGAAAUGGCUGGUCCUGAUUGCUUUGCUUAGUAUGGAUUUCCCCAACCUGGUUCCUACCAGAUGUAGGAAGAAUGUAAGGACAGAAGGAGAGCCCUUUUGGAUCAGAACAAACUCCCAUCUGGCUAAGGUCUGCCCUCCAUAGUUAGAGGCAUCAGUGCUUCUGAAUACCAGUUUAGCUUGCCGAUCAGAAGGUCAGCGGUUCAAAUCCCCAUGACAGGGUGAGCUCCUGUUGCUCUGUCCCAGCUCCUGCCAACCUAGCAGUUCGAAAGCACACCAGUGCAAGUAGAUAAAUAGGUACCACUGUGGUGGGAAGGUAAACAGUGUUUCCACACACUCUGGCUUCUGUCUGUGGGAUGGUUUACUUUAGCAGUUAAACAAUCCCCUUUAUAAGUUUAUGCAGCGAUCAGCUUGUUUCCACUGAGUUUCCAUUGAGCACAUGGAUUGAUAAUAUGGACAGAUUAGCUACAUAUGAAUGAAUUACAUGUCGGCACAAAAUACGAAUGGAUAAAUAUGAAGAAAUCUGGAACGAAUAUUUAAGCGAUAAGGUGGAUAGUGGUGGGAAGUAGGGGGGAGGAGAGAGAGGUGAGGAAAUAUUGUUUAAAAAGGUGUAGUCAUAGGUAUACCAGUGUAUUCAAAUCUGAAUUGUCAAAUUGUGUUAUUAGUGCUAUUAUGGUUUUUGUUGUAUGUGUCUUUUGCAGUUGUUGUUUGUAUCGAAAAAAUGAUUAAAUAAAACAAAAACAACAAUCCCCUUUAUAAGUUUAUGCAGCGAUCAGCUUGUUGCUGACUCGUCUGAGUUCUACUAGCAAAGAUGCCUUCCUGGUUAAAAAUCCCCUUGAAUCCCUCUUAAAGAGUACACACAUAAAUCUGAUUCAUGUUAAUAUAAAACUAUUUUCCUCUCAGAUUCAUUCAGGUUUACAGAACCAUGCCUGAAAGCAGGCUUAGGUUACAUAACGAGCAAAUGAACUAUACCAGAGGGACGUUGGUCCUGAGGCGACUGCAACUGAGCAGUUAUCUUUCAAAACUACAAGCAACUGACAAAGUGGUUGUCACAGCGACUGGUUAGAACAUGGAGGCCGUUAGUCCUCUGUCGGAAUGCUGCACUUGACGGCACCUUUACAUCCCACACUGUCAUGGUGUUCUGUUGCGCCAGAAGUGGCUUAGUCCUGCUGGCCACACUACUGAUUCAAAGUGUUGGUGUUGACCUUUAAAGCCCUAAACGGCCUCGGCCCAGUAUACCUGAAGGAGCGUCUCCACCCCCAUCGUUCUGCCCGGACGCUGAGGUCCAGCGCUGAGGGCCUUCUGGCGGUUCCCUCAUUGCGAGAAGCAAAGCUACAGGGAACCAGGCAGAGGGCCUUCUCGGUAGUGGCGCCCGCCCUGUGGAACGCCCUCCCAUCAGAUGUCAAAGCGAUAAAUAACUACCUGACAUUUAGAAGGCAUCUUAAGGCAGCCCUGUUCAGGGAAGCUUUUAAUCUGUGAUAUUUUACUGUAUUUUUUGUUUCUAUGGAAGCCGCCCAGAGUGGCUGGGGAAACCCAGCCAGAUGGGCGGGGUACAAAUAAUAAAUUAUUAUUAUUAUUAUUAUUAUUAUUACCUGGAAAGCUGUCUGUGGACAAACGCCGGCUCCCUCAGCCUGAAAGCGAGAUGAGCGCCGCAACCGCAUAGUCACCUUUGACUGGACUUAACUGUCCAGGGGUCCUUUACCUUUACCUUUUACACCUGUUCUGCCCUCCAAAGUUGGUGGCAUCAGUGCUUCUGAAUACCAGUUGCUGGAAACCACUGGAGGGGAGAGCGUUGCUCUUGUGCUUGUAUCCUGUUUGGGAGUUUUUCACAAGCAUCUGGGUGAUGCCCAUGAGAACAGAAUGCUGGAGUAGAUGGGCCAUUAGCCUAAUAAUACCCCAUCAUCUGACUAAGUUGCCCCAGCCACUCUGGAUGGCUUCCAACAUAAACAUAAUAAAACAAAAUGCUUUCCUAGACAGGGUUGCCUUCAGAUGUCUUCUAAAGCUUGUAUAGUUACAUAUCUGCUUGGCUCGAGGGUCGCCAUAAUGCCAUACUGUAAGGAGUGCGUACAGGAGUUGGGCCCUGUGACCAGUAGGGCUUCGCAGGACUGGGGCUUUCCUAAGUUUGUUCUGGAGAGGCAAGGUGCAGCCGCACAGGUGAGGCUGCUUGGUAACUCGCUGCACCUGAUGGCAAGAGCCGGAAGGGAUAUAAGGUCAGCAUUUCCCUUCGGCUCUUUGCCACAGCAACACGCUUCCUGCCUUGCUGUGUUUGGCUCCUUGCUUCCUGAUCCUCGGACCUCGACUUCUUGACUCCUUGCUUCUUGAUCCUCAGUCCCUUGACUUUGUGACUCCCUGCUUCCUGACCCUCGGACCCCUGGCUUCUGGACUCUCGUUCCUGCUCCCACCCCGCCAUCUUGCCCCGGUCCCAAAGUCCUCAGCCAGGACUUUGAUCGCCCGUAGACCAGACAGUGACACAUACCCUCCAAUAUUUCUUCGAUUAAAAUAAGGACGUCGUAAGGAAAAGCGGGACAUUCCGGGAUCAAAUAAAAAAACUGGGAUGGCGUCUGUAAAUCCAGGACUGUCCCUGGAAAAUAGGGACACUUAGAGGGUCUGAAAUGGGCCAUUGCCCGGAUCCUGCAGGAUCUUCGUAGGUCCUUGUGUUAUGGUUAAAGUCCUCAAAGCACUGGUGUUGUUAACAGCUGCUUGAAGGUUUCUCUUUAACCUUUUCUCCCCAACACACAGCUCUCCCUCCUCUUUGGAAGAUAAGCUGCUGUACAGGGUCAAACUGUCAGUCCAUCAACUAGCAGUGGCCAGAGGCUCAGGCAAAUCUCUUCCCCAACCACAUCAGGAACUGCUGGGGCUUGAACCCAAGACUUUUCCAUGCAAGGCAGAUGCUUUCUCAAUGAGCUGCAGCCAUCCUCCUCGCUCCAUCCGCCCUGUAGCCUGCAGUCUUGGCAAGGAGUCCCUCGCAGGUUAGGCUCCGCGAUCUGUAAACACUCAAGUAAUUAUAGCAUUAAAACAAGAGACACAGAUUACGGGGGUCCCGAUAGCAUCACUCUCACCUGGAGUAAUGAGAAAGGGAGUUGGGGCUUUUAUGAGCACAGCCACCAUUAUGAGCCUGAAGAGGUCUGCAGGUUGUGAAAUUGCCUGCCUUGUCAUCUUCGGGACAGCUCAGGAUUAUUAAAGAAAACAGUGCAGGAACGCAGGGAGCUGACUUUGUAACGCUGAGCCAGAACGUCGGUCUGUUUAGCUUAGUAUUUGCUACUCUGAAUGACAACCAGAGGCCUACGCCAGUGGCCAAAAUUGUAGAAACAUUUUGGGGAAAGUGUAGUUCUGAGGUUUGAUGGCUCAUAACACCACUUAUUUUGGAAUAAUGCCAUAAAAUUAUAUAUCAGGGGAAAGAUAAUUUAAUGAAGACUGUAAUGCAACAAAGUUUGUUCAAUUAUCUGUAUUCUCUCAAAAGUUAUAGCCAAAUAACCAGAAAAAGAAAGCACAAUUUGCUUAGGUUGAUACGCAGUAGCUCCCCCCCCCCCAGCUUGUUAAAUGGCUUGGGAUGCAUAUACCUAAAGGGGCAACUCUCCCGAUACCAGUUUUUUAGCUUUCUUUGCCCUCCCCUUAACAGCAUUAAGAACAUGGUCUGUUUGCUUCUAGGAGAAUGGUGACGCAAUGCCACUUCCUUUUAUAAACUGUACACACAGGGGUAACUGUGCCCCUGAAGGACCAGGUGCGCAGCCUGGGAGUCAUUUUGGACUCACAGGUGUCCAUGGAGGCGCAUGUCAAUUUUGUGUCCAAGGUGGCUGUCUAUCAACUCCAUCUGGUACGCAGGAUGAGACCCUACCUGCCCGCAGAGUGUCUCUCCAGAGUGGUGCAUGCUCUAGUUAUCUCUCUCUUGGAUUACUGCAAUGCGCUCUAUGUGGGGCCACCUUUGAAGGUGACACGGAAACUACAACUAAUCCAGAAAGCGGCAGCUAGACUGGUGACUGGGAGCGGCUGCUGAGACCACAUAACACCGGUCUUGAAAGACCUACAUUGGCUCCCAGUACAUUUCCAAGCAUAAUUCAAAGUGUUGGUGCUGACCUUUAAAGCCCUAAAUGGCCUCAGUCCAGUAUAUCUGAAGGAGCGUCUCCACCCCCAUGGUUCUACCCGGAUACUGAGGUCCAGCGCCAAGGGUCUUCUGGUGGUUUCCUCUCUGUGAGAAGCCAAGCUACAGGGAACCAGGCAGAGGGCCUUCUUGGUGGUGGCACCCGCCCUGUGGAACGCCCUCCCACCAGAUGUCAAAGAGAACAAAAACCACCAGACUUUUAGAAGACAUCUGAAGGCAGUCCUGUUUAGGGAAGCUUUUAAUGUUUGAUGCAUUACGGUAUUUUAAUAUUUUGUUGGAAGCCGCCCAGAGAGGCUGGGGAGGCUGGGCGGUGUAUUAUUCAUUCAUUCAUUCAUUCAUUCAUUCAUUCAUUCCCUGUCCAUCUGACUGGGUUGCCCCAGCCACUCUGGGCAGCUGCCAACAUAUAUAAAAUAAUUAAACAUUAAAAAGCUUUCCUAUACAGUGGUACCUCGGGUUACAGAUGGGCGGGGUAUAAAUUAUUAUUAUUAUUAUUAUUAUUAUUAUUAUUAUUAUUAUUCACAUACACACAAGUGUAGCUGCCUGGUCUCCUUGUUGCUCACCUCCUUCCACUGGCCAGUUCACCUCCAGAAUGGAAGGAGACCACCCAGUGCUGACAACCACAGCCAUUGGCCCCUGCGUUCUGCC
rnacentral:lncRNA from 1 species